AAGCACAGGUAGUGUGUGUGUUUGUAAAUCACAUGGUGACUGCUGAUGGGGGACUUAACUUGCUGGCCACUACCAGGGAUGCUACUGAACUGAAAGAUUACCGAGAUGAGAAUGAAGCAGGUCUACCGUGUGCCGUUCGAACGGAACUCCGAAAGGGUUAAAGAAAUACGCCAUGACUGUGCAGAGAGUUCUUGAGCUGGAGGCAACGGAAGAGGUCCAUAACUUCAUCUAUGUAGAUGAAGUUGGUUUCAACCUCUGUAAAAGUAGGCGUCGGGCGAGAAAUAUUAUCGGCCAUCGUGCAAUUGUAAAUGUCCCUGGCCAGCGGGGAGGGAAUAUCACCCUUUGUGCUGCCAUGAAUCACCACGGCAUCCUCCAUCACCACUCAAUCAUUGGCUCAAUCAUCAUCAUCACUCAAUCAUCAUUUGCACGUCUCAUCACAUUCCUGGACACACUCCACAACACGGUAAUACCACCAGACCAGCCAGAUAAUGCAGAGCAGCCCAGGUACGUUGUUAUCUGGGACAACGUAAGUUUCCACCGGGCUGCUCUGGUGCGCACCUGGUUCACCAACCACCCACGGUUCCUGGCACUUCCCCUCCCACCUAACUCUCCCUUUCUAAAUGCCAUAGAAGAGUUCUUUUCAGCUUGGAGAUGGAAAGUGUAUCAGGGCAAUCCUCAAGCACAGCUGCCACUGAUACAGGCCAUGGAGGAGGCAUGUGGAGAUAUAGCCUCAGAGGCAUUCCAGGGCUGGAUUCGCCACACUAGGCGAUACUUCCCCCGCUGCUUGGCCAGGGAGAAUAUUGCCUGCGAUGUUGAUGAGGUCCUGUGGCCAGACAGGAACCGACGACAGGAUGAAGCCUAAUUUUUUUUGUCCUUUUUUAUUUACACUUUUCUUCCUUUUUUUGUUGACUGUAGUGGUCUAUUUUCUAUUGUUUGUUGUGUGAAAAUUUUGAAAAAAUAAACAUUUUUGUUGUAUAUUUGUGUGUUUUAUUUUAUGAGUUAAAACAUUAUACAUUUACAAUAUUUUACAACAGG
ensembl:lncRNA